CGCGGUGUGGAGCAGUUGGCAUCUCGUCGGGCUCAUAACCCGAAGGUCGUAGGUUCAAGUCCUGCCUCCGCAACCA
rnacentral:tRNA from 1 species